rnacentral:lncRNA from 1 species
GGGGUGAGGCUGGGUGGAGACGGCAGAUCUGCACGGUGGAGAAAAGAGAAGAAGGCCAGCACAGUGGCAUUGAGGAAUCCAGGGAGCUCCUGGCCAACUUGGCCUGAGUCUUGCAUUUCAGAUGAAAAAAGGAAAACUGUGACCUAGUUCCUGGCCUGCAGAGCAGAUGGCCUUACCCUGGGCACCCGGCAUCCACCGGCCUCGCUCGACUUCCCGACGGCGCCAACCCUCGGUCUGAAGCACACCUGUGCCAGGCAACGCUGAAAAAUUCAGCUCUACUGUGUGACAGAGCGAGAUGAACUCAGGCUGACUAAGUGCUCACUUUCCACCAGCUCUUUUGGACUCAUAACUCAGAGGUUAGGAUGCCAGCCGUCUG